AUUCCAUGAAUAAUUGCUGGGCGAAUGAAUAAAGGGAUCAUCUCCCUACUUUGGUACACUGAAUUCUAACUAUUAGAGUGACCUCUACUAGGUUACAUGUGUGCCUGCUUACAAACAGUUAACGUCGUGCCCUUGAGGUGAACAUUUCGUACCAUCUGACAUCAACUUUUCAGAUUCUUUUGGUUCCCAGAACAAAACCAACCAAGGAGAAAUAUGAGUGCUUUUUUUACAUUGUGUUCAUUUUGAAGCAUUUAAGAAUCCAGGGUAGAUAUGAGUCAGCCAUUAAUAAUGAUUACUGUUCUUCCAGAGGACCUAAGAUUGGUUCCUAAUGCCCACAUUGGUUGUCUCAUGACAACCGGAAACUCUAGCCUCCAGGAAAUUCAAUGCCCUGAUCUGGCUUCUCUACACACACACACACACACACACACACACACACACACACUAAAAUUAAAAAUAAUUUUUAAGGAAAAAUAAUCUAGAGUAUAUUUUGUUGAUAGCUUUAAAAGCUCUUUCUAAAUCAUUUUUAAUAAAAUUUUCAUUUAAUGUUGGGAAUUGUGUGGCUGUGGGCUGACGAUGCUCUUGAACAAUAGCGGGAACUAUGGCCAAUAUGACAUCAAGAGUGUGCUCAUGCCCACAGUUCAACUCUAUGGGCCUUGGAUAGAUUUACUUUUGUUAGCUGGCAGAGAUAAAGAUCAGUGAUUGAAGGAUAACUGGGCUUCAGAUUAUUUUCAUUUCAUUUUAGAGUUUGGAAUUCAUUCUCUCAACAUUAUAUGCAUUUGAUUUGAAAUAUCUUCACUAAUGGCCAAGAAUAAUCUUUACCUUUCCCCAGAUAUGAUUAUAAUUUUCAAUUUGAUGUAGGUCUGAAAUGCAAGCAGGAAAAUUUUUCUUACGUGUCUAGAUAUGCUGGUUUUGUGUUUAAGUAAAAGGGUGACUUCUCAUGUAUAGUAAGUAUAUCUUCCAUUUGUAUUACAUCAAUAGAUUCUGAAAAGUUUAGACUGCGUGGAAUGUUUUGCCAUGAUAAGUUGAGUAUAUUUUUGUGUAUAUAGCAAAAUCUAUGACUCUGAAAAAUACUUUUGCAUGAAAAAUUAGAAAACCUGAGAUCUCUUCAUGUUUUGGUUCUGCAAUAAAUGCUUGAAUUGAUGUCACUUAAAUCCUAAAUACUUCUGCAGAACCACAAUAAUGGACUUCCCAUAUCAUGUAAAUACUAAUUUUAUUGAUUGUAAAAAUGGGUGAUGGAGUUUGAGGUUUCAGAAUCACUAAGAGACAUAAACUAGUAGAUGUGGAAAGACUGGGCUCUAUGACAAAUGUUUCAGUGAACAUAAUUCUGUGCUGGGCUUCCUUAGAUUUCUAUUUUGAUUCUUUCACUACUUAUCACAGAGGAAAACAUCAACCAUGAAUCCAGACUAUGCUCAUUAAUUAUGCAACCUCUUUACCUUGUAGUUUUAGUCUCUAAUGGCAAAACAUGGAAUUUGUCAUUACUUAAUUCAUAAAAGGCUUAUAAUAAUGUAUAAGGGUCAACCUUAUAAAUCCACAGCUCAGAGUUUAAUGUUAAGUAUUCAAUAUGCACUCAGUUCUUAUUCAUAAUCUGUUUGGAAUACUACUUAUCUGUCAAGAUGAUGUAGGUUGUGAAGAUCUAUCUGAUCCCACUAUAUUGAUCGGCCUUUCCAUUCAGAUCAGAAAUGCCUGGGUAUUAGACUUCUAUCACAUGAUUAAUAAAUAGCUUAUAAAACUAAACAGAUAAGUUCAUUUACUCUCAAGUUUGUUUUACCAGGGUAGCUGAUAUAUGGAUGCAUUUAUUUUCCAUAGUGAUACAUGCAUGCUCAUUGAGAGUACUUGUACAUGCAUAUAUGUGAAGACCAUAGGUCAACUUCAGGUGCCAUUGCUCUCAUUUUUGGAGACAGAAUCUCUCACUCAUCUGGAGCUUACCAAAUUUUGUGACGUUGACUUGUCAGUGAGCCCCAGUAUCUGCCCGUCUCUACCUCUUCAGCUCUGAGAUUGCAAGGAUAAAUCACCACACCCUGCAGUUUUACAUGUGUUCUGAGGAUUCCACUCACAUCUUCAUUGUCGCAAGUAAUCACUUUACUGUCUGAGCAAUCUUCCCAGCAUAUAAUUAUCCUUACCCAACACAAAGUCCUCAACUCCAGAAGGUUAUUUUUCUCCAUUUUCAUACCUCCAAAUGUAAAGAUCAAAGGUAACACUUCUCAAAUUAGACUUUCUGGCAAUAGGGGGCUUUUGGGGGUAGUUUGAUAAGCUCAGAUUAGCAAUAUUGUUUGAAUUUCUGUUAGUUCCUAUGACAUAAUUGCAAUGGAGUAGUGAGAUGGGGCAAAGUAAGCUUAAAUGCACCCUUCUUUCCAAUAAAGGGUAGAGAGGUCAGACUAGUACAGUAGAAUACUUAGUAGACUAAAAAAUGAAUAAGGAAGAGUUCGGGUGAGUUACCUGGGGAACAACAAAGAAUGCCAUUCUACACCACAGAGGGAUGUGACAGAGUUCAAUGAAGGAAGGGACAUGUAAGUCCAGCUUUGAAGUAUAUAAAUGAAUUGUGGUAGAAAGAAGGGUGAAAGUAUAAACAUGAAAUAGCCCUACAUUUGAAGAAGGGACUCUGCUAAUACAGAAAACCAUGAACAUUAGCAGUGACAGCAGAGUACAGAAGAGCCUGAAGUGUCCCAGAAGAACAAAGAGAACUGGUUAAUUGGCAGGGUCAGGAGAGGCAUCACAGGGAAAAGGGCUAUGAAGUGGAAACUCCAAAGGUGAGAAAAAUACAGAUCUUCUGCUCUCUGCAAAAUUAUUGGCUUGUCUGCUUAGCAGUGGGUAUUGCAUUCCUAAAUACAUGGUGGUAUGAAAGAGGAGUCAGUGCCAACUUAUAUAGACUAAUAUAAAACAUUCUAAAUAAGCAGAAACAGCACUUGCCUACUCUAGAAGAUGGAAAUAGGUGUAGAUUGUAGGGCACAGAGAGAAGGUAACAGGUUUACAAUGACUCGUGUGUCCUUGUGUUGGUGUGCAUGUGUGUAAGAUAGAGGUAAUUGUCAAGGAUCUAACUAAGACUAAUAUUUCCAGAGCUCUGGGGAGAUGGCUCAGUGGUUAGGAGUUCAUAUUGUUCUUACUGAGGGUGAGAUUCAGUUCCCAGGACCCAUACUGGACAGCUCACAGCUAGCUGCCUAUAACUCAAGCUCCAAGGGACCCAAUGCCCUCUUCUGGACUCCAUGAUCACUUAUAUACGCACACAUGCACACGCACACACACACACACACACAAACCU
rnacentral:lncRNA from 1 species